GGAGGGGGAAUGAGAGAAAAAUCAAAUUUCUACGAAGAGAUGUCAGCAGUAAAUUUAAUGCAGCUGCCACAAGCAGAGUGAAUGCAGAGCCAUCAAGAGGCCCUAUCUGGAGAGUUUCCAGGAAGAAGUAGCUCUAUAAAUUUCCUCAGAACCUCAAUCAACAUUUGAGUUGAGAUUCACAAUUAAAAUUGGAGUCAGAGGAUUGAAUCUGGAAAAGCCAUUUAACUAUAUGGGCUGUAUUUUUAAAAAUUUGCCCAAUGAGAAGAGAUUUAAUGAUUUUCAAAAUCCCUCUGUACUUGAUAUUUUGUGAAUUAAAUUUUCGAUAAGCUAAAUGUCAGAUAAAUCACUUUCCACUUCAUCUACUAGAGACAUUAUCCCCAUUAGGCUCCAUUCUCAUAAUUAUCUUACUUCUACUGGAUUUUCUCCUCAGCCUGGUAAAGAUUUUCAAACCUUUAUUAUCUUAAUGAAAAACAAAACAAAUAAUAUUCUUCGAAAAGCCUCAACAUGCAGUCAAGUGUUUUCUUUUUUUUUAAGCUAUCACUUUAUAUUUCAUCUUCCCUUUCAGUCAAGCCUCUGAGUAGAAUAGUCAUUUAGUCAGGUAUCCCUGGCAGCCCCCGGUAAACAAGUCAGCAAUGCCUAGUGGGCCUAUUUGGAUUUUGGAGGCAACACAUUCUUCAUUUGACUGUGUUAUUCCAGCCCAUUUACUGAGUGAUCCAAAAGGCUGCCAGUUUUGAGUGGGGUCCAGAACAGAAGAAGGCUCUGCAACAGGUCCAGGCUGCUGUGCAAACUGCCCUGCCACUUGGGCCAUAUGACCCAGCAGAUCCAACGGUGCUUGGGGUGUCAGUGGCAGAUAGGGAUGCUGUUUGGAGCCUCUGGCAGGCCCCCAUAGGUGAAUCACAGCAGAAGCCUCUAGGAUUUUGGAACAAGGCCCUGCCACCUUCUGCAGAUAACAGCUCUCCUUUUGAGAGACAGCUCUUGGCCUGUUACUGGGCUUUGGUGGAGACUGAACGUUUGACUAUGGGUCAUCAAGUCACGAUGAGACCUGAACUGCCUAUCAUGAACUGGGUGCUUUCUGAACAAUCUAGCCAUAAAGUGGGUCAUGCACAGCAGCAUUCCAUCACCAAAUGGAAGUGGUAUACACAUGAUCGGGCUCUAGCAGGUCCUGAAGGUGUAAGUAAGUUACAUGAGGAAGUGACUCAAAUGCUCAUGGUCUUCACUUCUGCCACCCUGCCGUCUCUCCCCCAGCCUGCACCGAUGGCCUCAUGGGGAGUUCCCUAUGAUCAGUUGACAGAGGAAGAGAAGACUAGGGCCUGGUUCACAGAUGGUUCUGCAUGAUAUGCAGGCACCACCCAAAAGUGGACAGCUGCAGCACUACAGCCCCUUUCUAGGACAUCCCUGAAGGACAAUAGUGAAGGGAAUCUUCCAAGUGGGCAGAAUUUCGAGCAGUGCACCUGGUUGUGCACUUUGCAUGGAAGGAGAAAUGGCCAGAUGUGUGAUUAUAUAUUGAUUCAUGUGCUGCAGCCAGUGGUUUGGCUGGAUGGUCAGGGACUUGGAAGAAGCAUGAUUGGAAAAUUGGUGACAAAGAAAUUUGGGGAAGAGGUAUGUGGAUGGACCUCUCUGAGUGGUCAAAAACUGUGAAGAUAUUUGUAUCUCUUGUGAGUGUUCACCAAUGGGUGACCUCAGCAGAGGAGGAUUUUAAUAAUCAAGUGGAUAGGAUGACUCGUUCUGUGGACACCACUCAGCCUCUUUCCCCAGCCAACCCGUCAUUGCCCGAUGGGCCCAUGAACAAAGUCACCAUGGUGGCAGGGAUGGAGGUUACACAUGGGAUCAUCAACAUGGACUUCCACUCACCAAGGCUGACCUGGCUACAGCCACUGCUGAGUGCCCAAAUUCGCCAGUAGCAGAGACCAACACUGGGACCUUGAUAUGGCACCAUUCCUUGGGUGAUCAGCCAGUUACCUGGUGGCAGGUGGAUUAUAUUGGACCUCUUGCAUCAUGGAAAAGGCAAAGGUUUGUCCUCACUAGAAUAGACACUUACUCCAGAUAUAGGUCUGCCUAUCCUGCACUCUAUGCUUCUGCCAAGACUACCAUCCAUGGACUCACAGCAUGCCUUAUCUGCCACCAUGGUAUUCCACAUAGCAUUGUUUCUGAUCAAGGAACUCACUUCAUAGCCAAAACAGGUGUGGCAAUGGGCUCAUACUUAUAGAAAUCACUGGUCUUACCAUGUUCCCCAUCAUCCUGAAGCAGCUGGAUUGAUAGAACUGUGGAAUGGUCUUUUGAAGUCACAAUUAAAACACCAACUAGGUGACAAUACUUUGCAGGGCUGGGCAAAGUUCUCCAGAAGGCUGUGUAUGCUCUGAAUCAGUGUCCAAUAUAUGGUACUGUUGCUCCCACAGCCAGGAUUCACAGGUCCAAAAAUCAAGGGGUGGAAGUGGAAGUGGCACCACUCACCAUCACCCCUAGUGAUCCACUAGCAAAAUUUUUGCUUCCUGUUCCUGUGACAUUAUGUUCUGCUGGCCUAGAAGUUUUAGUUCCAGAGGGAGGAACGCUACCACCAGGAGACAUAAUGAUUCCAUUAAACUGGAAGUUAAGAUUGCCACCUGGACACUUUGGACUCCUCCUACCUUUAAGUCAACAGGCUAAGAAGGAGUUACAGUGUUGGCUGGGGUGAUUGACCCAGACUAGCAAGAUGAAAUCAGUCUACUAGUUCACAAUGGAGGCAAGGAAGAGUGUGCAUAGAAUACAGCAGAUCCAUUAGUGUGUCUGUUAGUAUUGCCAUGCCCUGUGAUUAAGGUCAAUGGGAAACUACAACAGCCCAAUCCAGGCAGGACUACAAAUGGCCCAGACCGUUCAAAAAUGAAGGUUUGGGCCACUCCACCAGGAAAAAGACCACGACCUGCUGAGGUGCUUGCUGAAGGCAAAGGGAAUCCAGAAUGGGUAGUGGAAGAAGGUAGUCAUCAAUACCAGCUAUGAACAUGUGAGCAGCUGCAGAAAUGAGGACUGUAACUGACAUGAGUAUUUCCUCCUUCUUUUGUUAAAAACAUGUUUGUGCAUGUAUAUACUUGUACUGAGAAAAUAUCUUCAUUUUAUUUCCUUUUCCUUUAUUUUGUGACAUAAGAUUUAUUGAUUUCAUGUCAGCAUUUAAGUAUUGUUAACUUUAUGUAAUAGUAUUUAGGUUGGGGGUUGGUGCAUUUCCAGUUGUAGGAAGGAUAGUUGUAUUAUGUUAGGUGUAAUUAUGACUUUAUUAUUAUCUUUAUUUGAAGAUUAUGUAUGAUCUCAGGAGAUGUGUAUGAGUUCAAGUUGACAAGGGGUGAACUUGUUAUGGUUAAUACUGAGUAUUAACUUGAUUGGAUGGAAGGAUACAAAGUAUUGAUCCUGGCUGUGUCUGUGAGGGUGUUGCCAAAGGAGAUUAACGUUUCAGUCAGUGGGCUGGGGAAGGCACACUCACGCAUAAUCUGGUGAGCACCACCUAAUUAGCUGUCAGUGAAUAUAAGGCAGACAGAAAAACGUGAAAAAGUGAGACUGGCCUAGGCUUCCAGCCUACAUCUUUCUCCCAUGCUGGAUGCUUCCUGCCCUCAAACAUCAGACUCCAAGUUCUUCAGUUUUGGAGCUUGGACUGGCUCUCCUUGCUCCUCAAGCUUACAGACAGCCUAUUGUGGGACCUUGUGAUUGUAGUCUCACACUGUUGCCUGGGUUGGAGUGCAGUGGUGCGAUCUCUGCUCACUGCAGCCUCCACCUCCUGGGUUCAUGCAAUUCUCCUGCCUCAGCCUCCUGAAUAGCUGGGAUUACAGGUGCACACCACCACACCCGCCAAGCUCUACAAGAGAUAAAUCAGCUGAGACUACCAUUAGACAUCUGCAAGCAGAAGAUUAGGAGAGUAAAUUGGAUGAGACGCAUAUGCAUAUGACCCAGAAACAAAGUUGCGUGAAACUAUCAUGGUUUGUGCCUCGAUAGGUUGAACAAGCUAAGUUAUUCUCUUUCCAAAAUAGAGGACAGCUUAGAAGAGAUAGUUUUAGAAUGAUACCCUCUGCCUUUCCCACACCUCUUCUACAAAAAGUCCCUGCUGAAAUAGGGAG
rnacentral:lncRNA from 1 species